GGAUGGAUGUCUGAGUGGUUUAAAGUGCUAGCCUUGAAAGCUGGUGUGUAUCUAUUACACCGUGGGUUCGAAUCCCACUUCAUCCU
rnacentral:tRNA from 1 species